AAUGAGUAGCGAGAAUUAUGUGGGAAUCAUAAUGGCCGAAAAUCUAAGGUUUCCUGGGGAAGGUUCGUCCGCCCAGGGUAAGCCGGGAGCUAAGGCGAGGCCGCAAGGCGUAGUCGAUGCACAUACGGUAGAAAUUCCGUAGCCGGUACAAUUGUUAAGCAUAGUGACACAUGAGCGCAGCACUACCGGGCGUUGGUUGCCCCGGGUGUAAACGAGUCGAAUGAGACGAAGUGUGCGAGGCUUGUGGCGAGAAAAGCUAUGUGGAUUGGUUGUACUGCCCGUACCGCAAACCGACACAGGUAGAUGAGGAGAAGAUCCUAAGGCCAUCGGGAGAAGGGUUGUUAAGGAACUAGGCAAAUUGACCCCGUAACUUCGGAAUAAGGGGUGCCUACGAAAGUAGGUCGCAGAGAAUCGGCCCAAGCAACUGUUUACCAAAAACACAGGUCUCUGCUAAAUCGAAAGAUGACGUAUAGGGGCUGACGCCUGCCCGGCGCUGGAAGGUUAGGAGGAGGACUUAGCGGAAACGCGAAGGUGCGAAUUUAAGCCCCAGUAAACGGCGGCCGUAACAAUAACGGUCCUAAGGUAGCGAAAUUCCUUGUCAGGUAAGUUCUGACCCGCACGAAAGGCGUAAUGAUUUGGGCACUGUCUCAACAGCCCGCCCGGCGAAAUUGUAGUACCGGUGAAGAUGCCGGUUACCCGCAACUAGACGGAAAGACCCCAUGGAGCUUUACUGCAGCUUAAUACUGAGAUUCGGUAAAUCAUGUACAGGAUAGGUGGGAGACUUGGAAGUCUGGUCGUCAGGCCAGAUGGAGUCGCCCUUGGGAUACCACCCUUGGUUUGCUGGAUUUCUAACCUGCGGCCCUGAAUCGGGUCGGGGGACACUGUUAGGCGGGCAGUUUGACUGGGGCGGUCGCCUCCUAAAAUGUAACGGAGGCGCUCAAAGGUUGGCUCAGCAUGGAUGGAAACCAUGCAAUGAGUGUAAACGUAUAAGCCAGCCUGACUGCGAGACCGACGGGUCGAGCAGAGACGAAAGUCGGAGUUAGUGAUCCGGUGGUAUGUGAGUGGAAAUGCCAUCGCUCAACGGAUAAAAGCUACCCUGGGGAUAACAGGCUGAUCUCCCCCAAGCGUCCACAGCGACGGGGAGGUUUGGCACCUCGAUGUCGGCUCGUCGCAUCCUGGGGCUGAAUUAGGUCCCAAGGGUUUGGCUGUUCGCCAAUUAAAGCGGCACGCGAGCUGGGUUCAGAACGUCGUGAGACAGUUCGGUCCCUAUCUGUUGCGGGCGUAGGAGAUUUGAAGGGAGCUGUCCUUAGUACGAGAGGACCGGGAUGGACGCACCUCUGGUGUACCAGUUGUUCUGCCAAGGGCACGGCUGGGUAGCUACGUGCGGACGAGAUAAACGCUGAAGGCAUCUAAGCGUGAAACUCCCCCUAAGAUAAGAUCUCCACUGAGGCUCGACGUAGACUAUGUCGUUGAUAGGUCAGAGGUGUAAGUGCCGAGAGGCAUUGAGCUGACUGAUACUAAUAAGCCGAAAGCUUGUC
rnacentral:rRNA from 1 species